AUUGAACGCUGGCGGAAUGCUUUACACAUGCAAGUCGGGCGGCAGCGCGGGGGCGAACCCUCGGCGGCGAGCGGCGAACGGGUGAGUAAUACAUCGGAACGUGUCCUUGAGUGGGGGAGUAGCUCGGCGAAGGCCGGAUUAAUACCGCAUAAAGCUCUGAGGAGGAAAGCGGGGGACGUGGUAACGGCCUCGCGCUGUUGGAGCGGCCGAUGUCGGAUUAGCUAGUUGGU
rnacentral:rRNA from 1 species